rnacentral:lncRNA from 1 species
GAUAACUAUUCUCUAAACUCUUCUUUGUAGAUUAUAUUGUUAUAUUUGCUCAUCUAGGAGUUUAAAUCUUCUUCCUUUGUUUAUUAAACUACUUGUAAAGGUUGGUUGGUUAGCCCGCAAAACCAACGAAAUAGGUUGAUUGGUGAACCCGGAAAACCAAUUGUAAAGGUUCGUUGGUGAGCCCGUAAAACCAACAUAGGUUCGUUGGUGAGCCCGUAAAACC